UUAUAACGGGGCACCUCUCGUCAAACUUUUAUGACCCCCUCCCCCACCCGGUGACAGUUGCUAUCUGACAGGUCGUUUUUAUGACCCUUUGACAGGGGGGCGGGACCAUCAAUCAAAAUCUGUACAAGUUGUCAACUUUAGACAGAAAGUAUUUAAUGGGUUUAUGACGGGUCAUUUAGAGUGAUUGUUUUUCCUGAGUGUGUUUUAUGUCACGCGUAUGCAGUCAUUAAACAUGACAGGUUGUCUUUGUGACAUUUGCUGUUUAUUGACAUUUGUUGUAUCUAUCUAUCACCCCUCCCUUUUCGACCCGUGCGCCUCUCAAUACGGCCUGCAUUUCUCUCACAGGGGUGCGUGUUGUAAAGCGAUUAAAGAUUUCUAAAACUCAAUGUUGGUAAAACAAUCCCCCAUUACGGCGUCAAAAAAGUAAAUGUUUAUUUUAGAUUUUAGACAAAUCAUGAACAAUGCUACGAUUAAAACAUAUUUUUGUAACAUCACAAGUUAUUUAAUGAAAUAUACCGUAUACGUGUAUAGUUUAAGCAAUGAUCUGAGCCAUAACCUUCGGAGCCGGCAAUACUAUAAUCUUUAGACGAAAGUCUAAACUGAAUACAAUUUUAAACGAUUCAUGAGUUCCGGGAAUCUGUUCAUGACCUGGUCUAUAGUUUCACGCGUAUUAAAGAUCCGGCGGUGCAUGACAAAGCGCCGGGUGAGUGUUCAUAUCUGCCAUUUUAAAAUAAUGUUAAUAAAUGUAAUUCUGUCCACUAUGGCAAAAUAGGAUUUUAUUUUAGAUUUAGUGGAAUCUUUAACCAAGUCUCUGAUUAAGACAUGUGUAUACGUGCACAGAUGGUGACAGAGAAACUUAUAUAUGACGUUAAUAAUCUUUUAAAUGUUUUUAAGACGUAUUCACCCCAUUUUGGGGUUUUAUUUUUAAUUAAAGGCUUCUUAAAACAUGUGUGAAUAUGUAUAUAUUAUACAAAGAGUCUUAUAUUGUCUGCUCUGACAAAAAUAAAGUAUUUUUUUAGGUUUAGGGGAAUUGACUGCGUGUGUCUUAUAAAUACAACUUGAUAAUACGUUUGUUUUGUAAAGAGACUUAUUUAAAGUCACGCAAGAAUAAAAUAUUUUAGUUGUAACUGGUUAAACUUAAAGCCGAUAUUUUCUAUCGAACUAGUCUAUUUUCUGUUCAGACACAAAGUUUUCUGAUGCUGAUAUUAUGUCAGUGUGUGUUUGUGUGGGGGUCGUGUGAUGUAAUCUUUGAAAGUUUAUGACCGAACCUUUAUUGGGGAGCGACAAGAGAUCUCCCGGAAUCAGUUUGGAUGGAGCAGAGCUGUUAUACUCAAGUCUAUUGGUAUGUAUGUGUUUCGCUGUGUUCGUUCCAGUAUUUUGUAUGAUUUAUUUAAAAACUAAAAAUUCGAUCUCUGGUAUUGCAGCGAAAUUGUCUAAACUGGUAUUAACUAUUCCUGGUAAAUCGCGGAGAAGAGUGGCCUGAACAAAAAAGUCAGACCGAGACUAGAACCUCCCGCAGCGUAACACGGAAAUCUUGGAACAAAAGAGACGCCGACUGGCUCGUGUUGUCCGGUUUGGAUAUCAGAGGCAAAGCGAACGUUGUGUGUACUAUUGCAAAAUAUAUAGCGGAUCUCCACGGUUAGGAUACAGACCACAACGCUUUGGACGUAUCUUUAAAAAAGAUUAAAAUCAGAGACUUUUUGGAUUUGUCUGGGGACAUUUUAAACAUUUUGUGGCAAAUUGGAUUUAAAACAUUUCGGAUACUGGAUACCUAGUUUGAUUUGUCCACAGAGCUUGUUUAAGACGUUUUCACCGCAUUUUAGGGUUUAUUUUUAAUUAAAGGUUUCUUAAAACAUGUGUGAAAAUGUGUAUAUUAUACAAUGAGUCUUAUAUUGUCUGCUCUGACAUAAAUAAAUUUUUAUAUUAGAUUUUAGAUCAA